GGGACUACAACAUGACACGGCUGUUACCACGGUACUGUAGGUACAGGGACAACAUGACACGGCUGUUACCACGGUACUGUAGGUACAGGGACUACAACAUGACACGGCUGUUACCACGGUACUGUAGGUACAGGGACUA